CAGUCGCCGCGGGAAUACGAAGGGGGCUAGCGUUGUUCGGAUUUACUGGGCGUAAAGCGCACGUAGGCGGAUCCUUAAGUCAGAGGUGAAAUCCCAAGGCUCAACCUUGGAACUGCCUUUGAUACUGGGGAUCUCGAGUUCGGGAGAGGUGAGUGGAACUGCGAGUGUAGAGGUGAAAUUCGUAGAUAUUCGCAAGAACACCAGUGGCGAAGGCGGCUCACUGGCCCGAUACUGACGCUGAGGUGCGAAAGCGUGGGGAGCAAACAGGAUUAGAUACCCGUGUAGUCCCUGUCUCUUAUAC
rnacentral:rRNA from 1 species